GUAGUCGUAGCUCAGUGGUUAAGCUGUUUGACUACUUAUCAGAAGGUCAUGAGGUCAAACCCCAGCACUGCU